AGAGUUUGAUCAUGGCUCAGGAUGAACGCUAGCUACAGGCUUAACACAUGCAAGUCGAGGGGCAGCAUUUCAGUUUGCUUGCAAACUGGAGAUGGCGACCGGCGCACGGGUGAGUAACACGUAUCCAACCUGCCGAUAACUCGGGGAUAGCCUUUCGAAAGAAAGAUUAAUACCCGAUGGUAUAAUCAGACCGCAUGGUCUUGUUAUUAAAGAAUUUCGGUUAUCGAUGGGGAUGCGUUCCAUUAGGCAGUUGGUGAGGUAACGGCUCACCAAACCUUCGAUGGAUAGGGGUUCUGAGAGGAAGGUCCCCCANAUUGGAACUGAGACACGGUCCAAACUCCUACGGAGGCA
rnacentral:rRNA from 1 species